AAAAAGAGUAGGGAGAAGAAAGAAACACAAUAUUAUUAUUUAUUUUCUCAUCAUGCUUAUCGACUAGCAUUUUUUAAUACAUCAUUCCUUAUUAAUAACAAAUUAGCACACAUAGGAACAAGAAAUGAUACUGCUUUCCCAUAACUGCACUUUGACUAAUCUACCCCUUCUGAAUACAAGGAUGAUAAUGUUACAUACUUUAUAAUUCUUCACAGUGAAAUGUAGGAAAGAGUAAGAACAAUAUUCAUGACUAAGGCACACAAGAA